AAUUGCCCUCUGGUACUGAAGCAGGGCUGAGCCAAGUGCCCUGUAGAAUGUCAAGAGAGAACUAGCAGUAUGCACACACAGCAAAGAUCUCAGCGUGGCAUAGUCAGUUAUGGGAUAGUGAGUAGCUGUGGUCUGAAACAUUACUCCAUGUACCCUCCCUCCUUGCUCCUCCCCACUUCAAGCUUGGGUACUCAUGAGCACCAUUUGUUCUAAAACAAAGGAAAAAAUAUAUAUCUGUUAUGACUUCCCUCCUGGCUGGAUUCAGGAGCAGAGUGGUCCUGAUAGGAGUCCAUGGAAACGUGGGGGAAGCCACUCCGUUCUAGCUCUUUCCAGGCUGUCUGUGUGGCUCGGAGCCCUUCUUCCUUCCUCCUCCAUCCCACUAUGAUGGAACUCUUUUUUUAUACGAAUGUGCAGUUCAGGAUGUGAACCUUCAUGCUACCUACUGCCAUGCUUCCCCUGCCAUGAAGGACUCGCAACCAUCUGGAACCAUAAGACAACCACCACAGUCGAGUAGCUUUCUCCACACAUGUUCCCAGCAGUCGCUUGCUCCCUCAGCACAGCCCGAAGCAACACGCCCAAAUAAACAUGGAUCUGAAGAUCGGGCCGAAGUAAAACCUACCUGUUUUCAAUUUGGCUAUGUUAGGCAUUUUGUUUCGGUGCUAAAACAAUGACUCACACAGAAAUUGUGACUCAGGAUCUGAUGCUCUGUUCCAAGAAGAUCUGGGCCCUUGCUACACUUGCAGUCCAUGGACCAUUGAGUGAGAGUCCGUGAGAAAGCACCCGCUUGAUGUAAAAAUAAGAACCUAUAUUCAAGAAGAUAAUAGAGUGAUUCAUUCUCAAAUAUCUCAGCUCUGUGGAUAAACCCUGAAAAGAAGCUAUGUUGCCCUCUACAUACAGCAGAUGAUUAGACAGAAGACAGAACUCAAAUUACAAAAAUCUGGCAGCACAAGCUUUCUACUUUAUGAUCUAUUACUAAUAUUCUUUAAAAGUCAAAAAGAAAUAUUAACAUUUUCCCUUUUUCUUUUCUUUUCUAUUUUUUUUUCCUCCUAUUUUUGAAACAGGCCUUCAUAUAGUCCAGGCUGGUCUUGAACUCUCGGUGUAGCUGAGAAUGACUCUGAGCUCCUGAUCCUCCUGCUUUGGCUUUCCAGGUUCUGGGAUUACAGCCGUGUGCCACCACAGUUAGCUUAUUUGGUUCUGGUAAUAGAAUCCAAGGCUUUGUUCAUGCUAGGCAAUCACUAGACUGAUGGAGAUACAGCCGUGGCCUCGGAUUUCUUUUCUUUAAAUCAUAUUUUGAAGAAAAUAAAAUAAGCUGAGACGAUUCUUAAAAAGGAGAAAAAGGAUCCUUAAUACCACCACUUAAAAACAUAAGACUAAACACAGAAACCUGAGUCCAGAGCUCCCAGACAGUUUCAGGUCUCGCUUGGAAAAUUACCAGUUAACUGAUUGCAUUGUCGUUUAUCCUAAAUGCCUUUAUGCCUGAAUAUUUGGAUUUGUAUCUGUGCAUACAUGUUAUGAUGGUUCUCCUUAACCAUCUCACUGCAAGCUUUCCAAGCUAUCAUAAUGGAUGAUAUUCCAUGUGCUCCUCUGAAAGGCCUUCACCUCAGCCUAUUGACAGCUUUGUUUGAAAAGCAUUGUGCUUUAGGAAAGGGAGCGGAGAGCUUCGUGCAAAGAAAGCAGAUGUAAAGCAAACGGAAGCUCAGGGUGUCCUCCAGAUGCCCUGCGCCCUCUGCCCUCCUCUCCGCUAUCUUCAGUUCUGUCUGCCAGCUCUAUCACAGUAGGAUGCACACAGCACUCCUGGGCACACCCCUGUCCUCUGGAGUUUACUUCAAACAUGGUGGGCAGCCUGGCAGAGAGCCAAGGAGCUCAGGGAGUGUUCCCACUGAGGUCAGAAAGGGGCUCUCACACCACUCCUACGCUGGUAAUAUCUUACCUAAUGUGUUCUAGUGUCUUAAAAGAAAAUCUCCUCUCUCUUGAUUAGUUUCUUUAGAUGUGCAGAUUUUAGUAGGUUUAUCCUAUAUUAUAUGUCUAUGUGAGUGAGUAUAUACCGUGUGUGUCUUCCUGCUUCUGGGACAGAUCACUCAGGAUGAUCCUUUCCAGGUCCCACCAUUUACCUGCAAAUUUCAUGAUUUCCUUAUUUUUCAUGGCUGAGUAAUAUUCCAUUGUGUAGAUGUACCACAAUUUCUGCAUCCAUUCUUCAGUUGAGGGGCAUCUGGGCUGUUUCCACCUUCUGGCUAUUACAAAUA